rnacentral:rRNA from 1 species
CACGCCGGAAGACCAAGGGUUCCUGUCCAACGUUAAUCGGGGCAGGGUGAGUCGACCCCUAAGGCGAGGCCGAAAGGCGUAGUCGAUGGGAAACAGGUUAAUAUUCCUGUACUUGGUGUUACUGCGAAGGGGGGACGGAGAAGGCUAUGUUAGCCGGGCGACGGUUGUCCCGGUUUAAGCAUGUAGGCGGAGAUUCCAGGUAAAUCCGGAGUCUUG